rnacentral:pre_miRNA from 1 species
AGGAUUUCUGUCCCACGGCUCCUGAAACGGGUCAAACCGGGUCGGGGGCCGUGACAGCCCCCGACCUGGUUUGACCCGUUCCAGGAGCCGCGGGACAGAAAUCCU